ACUCCUACGGGAGGCAGCAGUGGGGAAUAUUGCACAAUGGGCGCAAGCCUGAUGCAGCCAUGCCGCGUGUGUGAAGAAGGCCUUCGGGUUGUAAAGCACUUUCAGUCGUGAGGAAGGUAGUGUAGUUAAUAGCUGCAUUAUUUGUACGUUAGCGACAGAAGAAGCACCGGCUAACUCCGUGCCAGCAGCCGCGGUAAUACGGAGGGUGCGAGCGUUAAUCGGAAUUACUGGGCGUAAAGCGCAUGCAGGUGGUUUGUUAAGUCAGAUGUGAAAGCCCGGGGCUCAACCUCGGAAUAGCAUUUGAAACUGGCAGACUAGAGUACUGUAGAGGGGGUAGAAUUUCAGGUGUAGCGGUGAAAUGCGUAGAGAUCUGAAGGAAUACCGGUGGCGAAGGCGGCCCCUGGACAGAUACUGACACUCAGAUGCGAAAGCGU
rnacentral:rRNA from 1 species